rnacentral:tRNA from 1 species
GCCGGGAUGGCGGAACAGGCAGACGCGUCGGUCUCAAAAACCGAUCCCCAUUUUGGGGGUGGGGGUUCGAGCCCCCCUCCCGGCACCA